CCUACGGGGGGCUGCAGUGGGGAAUAUUGGACAUUGGGCGAAAGCCUGAUCCAGCCAUGCCGCGUGUGUGAAGAAGGCCUUCGGGUUGUAAAGCACUUUCAGUGGGGAAGAAAGCCUUGGGGCUAAUACCCUCGAGGAAGGACAUCACCCACAGAAGAAGCACCGGCUAACUCCGUGCCAGCAGCCGCGGUAAUACGGAGGGUGCGAGCGUUAAUCGGAAUUACUGGGCGUAAAGCGCGCGUAGGCGGUCUGAUAAGCCGGUUGUGAAAGCCCCGGGCUCAACCUGGGAACGGCAUCCGGAACUGUCAGGCUAGAGUGCAGGAGAGGAAGGUAGAAUUCCCGGUGUAGCGGUGAAAUGCGUAGAGAUCGGGAGGAAUACCAGUGGCGAAGGCGGCCUUCUGGACUGACACUGACGCUGAGGUGCGAAAGCGUGGGUAGCAAACAGGAUUAGAUACCCUGGUAGUC
rnacentral:rRNA from 1 species